UACGUAGGUGACAAGCGUUGUCCGGAUUUACUGGGCGUAAAGAGCGCGCAGGCGGUCGUUCAAGUCGAGUGUGAAAGCCCCCGGCUCAACUGGGGAGGGUCACUCGAUACUGAUCGACUUGAAGGCAGGAGGGGGAAGCGGAAUUCCCGGUGUAGUGGUGAAAUGCGUAGAUAUCGGGAGGAACACCAGUGGCGAAGGCGGCUUCCUGGCCUGCUCUUGACGCUGAGGCGCGAAAGCUAGGGGAGCAAACGGG
rnacentral:rRNA from 1 species